CAAACUACGGUGAAUACGUUCCCGGGUCUUGUACACACCGCCCGUCAAACCAUGAAAGUGACCAACACCCGAAGUCCGAUUCGUCGGCCUAAGGUGGGGGGCAUGAUUGGGGUU
rnacentral:rRNA from 1 species